GGAAAAACAGAACACCGGAACUUCCGGUAGCGCCGUAAGAAGGAAAAUCAGGGAAUUCGAUGCACCUGUGCCUAGUUAGGGACAGCGGUUGGUGAUUGGAGGAUACGCUGGACAAGGCAGUACUUAAGGCCAAGUUAUUUUACAGUCUGGGAGCUCUUUCUGGCUGGAAUUGUAUGAUUACAUCGCGAACCUUAAAGGUUGAGAAGUGAACGGAUUAUACGGCGAACUGAGACGACGUGAAAAAGGGGAUUGGAAGCGGCAUUGAUGUGAGUACUAAGAGCCAGUCGAAAGUGCCCUGUAUAUUGACCUGGCGUUGUGUAGAUCUCUCCAGGAGGAGGAGGGCGGCCCUACCCCUAAUAUAGCGUGGUGGGAGAGCCGAAGGAAUACUUAUUGAAGUAG
ensembl:lncRNA